AGGGCCUUAGCUCAGCUGGGAGAGCGUCUGCAUUGCACGCAGGAGGUCAGCGGUUCGAUCCCGUUAGGCUCUU
rnacentral:tRNA from 1 species